CCCCGGCUCCUCCGAGCUCCGUCUCCUCAUCCGCAGUGCUGGGCUUCUCAUCCGUGUCUACUUAGAAGGGUUGCUGAGAACCACACGUGAUGGUUGUCAGGGGUGAUUUGUGGUUGUCCCUGUGUUUGACAUAUAGUCAGUAUUUGAUAGAAACACAUGUUUUUUUAUAGUUCUGGCUUCUACAUUGCAGUGGUUUUUAGUCUGCAUUUUUUUAUAACUUUUUUCUUAUUUUUAAAUAAGCACUUUUUUGGGGGGGGGAUUACUGGGGAUUGAAGCCAGCACAUUGUGCAUGGUAAGCAAGUGCUCUACAACUGAGUAAUAACCACCCUCCUUGUCUUCACUUAAAAAUAAAUAUUGCAAUACACAAAAUAGCUCUUAAACACCAUCAUGGGACCUAUUUUCUGUAUAGACAAUUGAAUACAUAUGCUAUUUCAAUAAGAAUAAAUGUUGGGACAUACAUUUCUGAAACUGAUUUACUUGUUUAAAAACGAUAAUAGCUAGUGAUAAACACGAGUCUUGGAUCCAGUACUUCUUAGGGUCUGCUUUGACAUCAUGGGAAAUUACAUUCUACAGAGAAGGCAAAUUGGGUCUCGUUGAUAUUUGGAUGAUUUAGCAGAUGAUCAAGUCUUUCAAAACUUGACAGUUUUGUAUUUUAAACUAACUGCAAAGUUAUCUUCUAGAAGUUGGAAUUCCUAAGCUUGUGAAGUGCUCAGUAAUUCAGUGUGUAUGUGUUUGUGUCUGUGUGAACGUGUUUGUGUGUGAUUUCAGGAAGGUAGAAAUAAGUUCCAUGUAGCCCUCUGAUACCUUCCUCCUCCAGUUCAAGAUGUAGGCAUAUAUUUACACAAAUAAAUUGAUAUUCUUUUGUUAUUUGGCAUAUUGGAAAUAAGAGGUUGUCAUACUUGUUUCAGAAGGGUUGGGGAGCAUGAGCUUAGAAAACGGGAGGAGAAAGAGGCCGGGAGGCACUUCACACUCUGUGCAGGAUUUGAGGAACAGUAGCUUUUCUUUUUUCUUCUAAAGCAAACUGGCGCUGAAUUGUAACAUACUAUUACUCAGAAUUGCUUUUCUGAUCAGAUACAAGUGCCUCAGAGUUUUCAAGGCAACAUGAAUGAUGAAAUCCGUUUUAGGAGUUAUCUUUAAAGUAGUGUUAAUUUUCAAGUAAAAGGCUAUAGCCUGUUCUUUCUUCGAAGGGUAAAAGACGUUCUCAUUGAUCCAAGUGCAUGAUCAAUGUGCUUAGUUUCUUUGGGGUUUUUUUCUUUUUUUUUAAGUGCUUGUUUCAUUGUGGUUUGAAUGAAUGUUUAAAAUUUCUGAAUUUUGUUCUUUAGAACAUGCUGAUUUAUCAGAACUUUUAAAAACCUGAUUGAUUUUUCGUCUUUGUUUGGAGGGGCACCCUUUUGAUUUCUGUUGUCUGUUAAAGAGGGAAAUUCUUCCUCUAGCCUGCAGAUCAUUAAGCGAAUGGUUUGUAGUGUGCCUUUAAAAUUCUUUGAAUGCUUUGAGCAUGCUUGUCUAGUGAAUUUUGGAUUGACUCAUAGUAAUGACUUUGCUUUGAUUCUGUGGCUUUUGCUCCUCUCCGCAAGAAUUUGAAUUCUCUGUUGCAUUUUGUAUACGUGUUUUUAACAGGGGAAGAAAUUUUACAUUUUUUACAAAGGUGGGUUUUCCUAUCCCCUCUGAAUGCCUUCUAUAAUUGAUACAACAAAAAUCUGUUAUUGUAGUGCUUAAUUAUUUCAUAAACUAAUUUUUGGCUUAAUCAGAAGCAAUGAGAAAGAGUGAUAAUAAAAAAUAUGAAAACCUUCCUUCCUUUGAAGAAUAGAAAUGAGGUGGUCAGGCUCACGCAUGCUUUGUGCUUGACACACUUACUUUCAUGUCAUUGUGUAUCAUGAUUCGGAGAUGGAGUUGCUUCAUGUUUUAUAGAUUUUUGUUUGAAGAUUUUUGUUGAAUUCUUUCUCCAGGCUGAUGUUUCCUGUUGGGUUUGUGGAAAGCGUAGAAGGAAAACAAAUUCUUUGUUUUAUUUUCAGGAGGCCUGAGUUGCUGAUGAGAAAAGAGUUGAGUGUGGGCUGAGGAACAGAGUGACACUCCCUCUCGUCCCGGCUGAAACUGAUGAACAAUGAAAUCAAUUAAGUGUAUCAGUAUUUGACCAAUAGAAUUCAGCGAGCUCAAACUGGCAAGUUAUGCCCAAUGGAAAGUACUGAAUUCACCUGCAGAAUUAGUAAAUAUAGGAGCAUUUGAGAGGCUCGUGGAGUUGGCUCCCUACUCCUUCUCUUUUUCUGGACUUUUCCCACAGAGACUUGAAUAAUCAUUCCGUGUCGGUACGACUUCUGCCAGCCAUAACCCACAGUUCCAGAUCGUUUUGGUUACUGAGACCCUCGAAUUCCCAUAUGAAUUACAACAGCAGCUAAUCAGUUUUUGCAGAGGAGCCCGCUAGGAUUGUGAUCGAGACCACGUAGAAUAUACGGAUCACUCUGGGGAGCACUGCCAUUCCAAGAGCACUGUCUUCUGAUCCAGGAAUGUACGUGGCGUGUCUGUCCAGGUGCCCUCAUAUCCAGUGGCAUCCAUCCAGACACCAACACUGACACUGGCCAUGCUCAGAACUGCCUCAGCCCUGAAGACACAGGAUCGCCCGUUCUACAUUGUGUGGUGCUGCUGCAGUGUCUCCUAGUUAUUUGUUUCUCUGUCCACGUGGGUCAAAUCAUGGUGCCCCUCUAAAACCUCCAAAAAAUAAUCAAAGUUGAUUCUCUAUUUUGCGACUUGCCAUCUCAACAUAAGUGCAGAAGAGUUAACAUCGUGAAAGAUCAGAGCCCGGAGAAUAGGCUCUCCUGGAUAUUUCAGGCUAAAGGCAACUUUCUUUUACAAAAGGUACAGAGCUACCAAGUCUGAGCCUAGAAAACAGCAAAGGUUUAAAGCCAAAGGAACAGAUCUAACAUGCAGUCAAAUUUAUUCUUUUCUAUUACAAUUUCUUUUUCCACCUCAUAAAUAAUUUUAGUAAGAAACAUGAGCAAUUUUUUUACUUUUGCUUCUUAGUAAAGGAUAAGUGGGCCAAAUAAAUUUAUGAGAGCAGGGAUGCUGUGUGGGCAUUGGGGUCACAGCAAACUCUUGUUGGGGGUGGUCGACUCUGCAACAUGUCUGAUGCCCCGUGGGUGUUGGUGAGGGACCCCAUAACCAGGGGCUCUCUUCAGGAACCAGCAUAUGGGCAUUGACCUCUGGAGACCUCUUUUACAGCUGCCGGAAAUUUUUUCAGAUACUGUGACUGAAAAACCACUUCAGCUGGUGAUAAUUAGGGAAUAAAGGAAGAGGAAAAGGGCUUUGAUUAGAUUACAAGAGAAGGACAGAAUAUCAGGGAACCUGGGGGCUUGGCAGUGGGUCCUUGGGAGAGAGGGGAGCAGAGGUGGGGAGGGGCACGACUCUGGAACCAGCUCCUGCACCUGUCCCAGGGCCCAAGUCACACAGCUUUUAAUUGGCCCAGGACGCUCUCCUGUCUGGAUGUCACCCUGGGCAGAACCUUGAGAAUCGAAGGUAAGGGGUGGGCAGCACUCACCUAGGGGAUCACUGAGGACUUAGUUCAAGUCCACGGUGCCUUUUCUGGUCAUGUGUCUUCACUUGCCCUUUAUCUUAGGAUCUGAGAAGCAGGAGCAAGGAACGCAGGGAGAGAUCCAGUAAGACAUCUGACUGUGUUAAGAGACGACAGUCAUAGCCACACCGGGAGCGAGGACACUUGCAGCAAAGUAAAACGACUUCACAACUAUUGCAUCAGAGCUGCCGGUGUGAGAGAGCCUAAGCCUGUCUCAGAGUGCAGGGGACAAGCAGAAAGGAAUGUGUAAGAAUGCUGGUGCCUGAGUUAGAAGCAUGCUUCAAAGCUGUCCGUGUCCUUGCCAUCCAGAAGCAGAGCCUGGGAGCUUCCUAAUUUCUCCAGAAUGGGGUUUACAUUCAUCUUCGACAGUUAACAGGAAACAUAACACAGGACUCCAGAUUUAGGGAGAGAAUGCAAAAAACUACUAUCAUACUCCAUCCAGUAAGGACAAGUGUCCCUGCGUCACCAAAGCAAUGAGAAUUUGCACAAAGAAAACACAGUUCUCCAAUUGUGACAAAUACUAGACCGUGAGCCAUGAGUUACGAGAACAAGCAACUGUUUAAAUGCCAUGGGCAAAUUUUUUUUAUCAUCUUGAAAACAUCACUGAUGUUCUAGGAUGAAAUUCUUGAAGACGACUCCCUGACCUGAAGGGAUGGAUGGAGGAGUAAAGAAAAGAAGACAAGCAUCUUUGGCCCAUAAAAAAUGAGAGGGCAUGCUAUUUUUUUUAAAUCAAAUGAGGAGGUAUUCGCAAGCCAAUGGACAACGGAAUUACCUAAGGAGACAUUAUAAAGCAGCAAGAGCAACUAGCAUUUUGACAAGCAUUCUGCCUGAGAGUCACUCGUACCAUCUCAUUUUGACCUGGCCACUUGGAGUUCAGGCUGAAUUCAUACUACUUAUGAGGAGAAGUCCUGAGGCCGAGGAGAGAGGGGAAGAUAGUCCAGACAUAAACAAUUUCAAGAGAUCCACUUCAUCAAGGAAGCAAAGUAUUAAAUAAACAACUUCAACAACAAGCUUGUCAAUAAACCUUGGUGUCUCUGUCUCUGCCUGAAGGAGGGUAAGCCCUCCAACCCAUCUGCCUUCCAGCCACAUACCCUGGAUGAUCUUGGUUCAAUCACCUGUGACACGUGUGUUCUCCAGGAAAUCUUUGUAGAGAUUAAACGAUAAAACUAUAUGCAUAGGGGAUACUUAUUUGUUAAGCAGUAGGCACUAAACAAAUAAUAAAAUUAUUUUAUUUCAUGAAAAUGGGAGAUAGGUCUCCCAAUUAAACAUUCCUGACAGAAUCCCAACAAGCACUUUAAUUUAUCUGCCAGAAAUUGUAAAAUAACAUUUCUUUUUAAAGGCUGUAUCCAUUCUCCCUACUUUUUACCAAUCCUGGCUGUUAUCCUGAAAAUCUAUUCCCAGAACUUGGCAUCCAUCUCCCAUAUUUAAAUCCUUUAAGUUUGAAAUUAUGAUGAAGCUUGGGCACAUAAAGAUUCACACCAUAAUUCACAGAAUAAACAAAGACCACAGGAACAGGGCCACUUCCAGACCCCAUGUGCUCAGGACAGGCUCCAAACUUCAUAAAAUCAGAUGCAUGCUGUUUGAAGGGAAAGAAAAUUGAAUGUGAUCAAGGAGGCUGACAUAGAGCACUGGCUGGCUCAAGAGACGACUCCUUCAACCCCUCGUCUGACUUAAGUCAUCUAACAGUUAUCAGGUGAUCUCUAACUAAAAGUAAAACAGGGGUAGGGUUGAAAAGUAAUUUUUUUCCUA